UCUGGUUCUGUCGAUCAAGUGAAACAAAUCACUUAGAAACCCUUCAGAUUUUCAGCACUGGACUUAUAGUUCGGCACCUUGAUCCAUUGACUUAGUUCUUAAUCAGGGCAGAACAGCAAUGAAGCUAUAUUUUUUGUGGAUUUUCAUUUACUUUGCAGUUUCACGUAACCCUACGUUUGCUAAUACUACGUGGCAACCAGCUUUCGAUAUAACAACUGGAAAUACAAAGAGCUGGACCAUGUUAACAAUCGAAAGUCCCUACCUGGUGACCCCUAAACCUAAACCUACACAACCGCCAUGCGGUUUAUUUCGACCAGUUUCGUGUUUGAUCAAUUUGAUAACAGGGGAAUGACUGAGUAGAAGUGACAACUAAAGUAUUUGGAUAAUUGAUGAAAAUUUCAAGUCAAUAUAUUUAAUAAAUAACAAUAAUUUUUGGUUGUGUAAAAGUACCAGUAAUAGUUCCCUAAAAAAUUUAAAAAUA